rnacentral:rRNA from 1 species
AUUGAACGCUGGCGGUAUGCUUAACACAUGCAAGUCGAACGGUAACGGUCCUUCGGGAGCCGACGAGUGGCGGACGGGUGAGUAAUGCAUAGGAAUCUGCCGAUUAGUGGGGGACAACGUGGGGAAACUCACGCUAAUACCGCAUACGCCCUACGGGGGAAAGCUGGGGACCUUCGGGCCUGGCGCUAAUCGAUGAGCCUAUGUUGGAUUAGCUAGUUGGUAGGGUAAAGGCCUACCAAGGCGACGAUCCAUAGCUGGUCUGAGAGGAUGAUCAGCCACACUGGGACUGAGACACGGCCCAGACUCCUACGGGAGGCAG